GGGGGCGAUUUGGUUUCGACGUAAAUUUGGCAUUUAGAUGCUGCAUGCCGAGAGCUAACUCGUUAAACUGGCACUCGCACAAUAAGUGCAGAACCAAUCAAUCAACUUGCUGCCUAGUAAAUAGAGUAGCAACAUUGAGAUUAACUUUGCUCAUAGGGUUUUUUUCGAUGUCAUUAAUAUGAGCCUAACAGAAGUUUCUUCUCUGCUCUUUUGUUAGUAUUUUAGAGAAUCGAAGUAUUUUUUGUUUUUUAGCCCAAAAAGUACUUUUAAAUUUAAAGCUAAAAUAAGCACGUAGAGGCUCUAUUUAGCUGAUUUCCGGACCUGGGUUCGAUUCCCAGCGCCUCCAA
rnacentral:tmRNA from 1 species